rnacentral:rRNA from 1 species
CCCGUAGGGCGCAAGCGUUGUCCGGAAUUAUUGGGCGUAAAGAGCUCGUAGGCGGUCUGUUGCGUCUGCUGUGAAAACUCGGGGCUUAACCCCGAGCCUGCAGUGGAUACGGGCAGACUAGAGGUAGGUAGGGGAGAAUGGAAUUCCCGGUGUAGCGGUGAAAUGCGCAGAUAUCAGGAGGAACACCAAUUGCGAAGGCAGCUCGCUGGGACGUGACUGACGCUGAGACGCGAAAGCGUGGGGAGCAAACAGG